rnacentral:rRNA from 1 species
UACGGAGGGUGCAAGCGUUAUCCGGAUUCACUGGGUUUAAAGGGCUCGUAGGUGGCCAACUAAGUCAGACGUGAAAUCCCUCGGCUUAACCGGGGAACUGCGUCUGAUACUGGAUGGCUUGAGAUUGGGAGAGGGACGCGGAAUUCCAGGUGUAGCGGUGAAAUGCGCAGAUAUCAGGAGGAACACCAAUGGCGAAGGCAGCUCGCUGGGACGGUACUGACGCUGGAGACGCGAAAGCGUGGGGAGCAAACAGG